CCUCCUCUGGGCCCUGUGGCCUGGUGGAAAAGUCUCACCAUCGGAGCCUCAGAGCCACCUGUCGGCCUGGAGUCCUCAUCUGUGCGAACCUCAUCUGUGCGAACCUCAGAUGCGCUAGAGGCCUCCUGCCCUGGGGCCCGCACUCCGCGUCCCUCCCUGAUCUAUGAAAUGAGGGGAUUACUUAGGGGAUCCAGUCAGUGGGUCCCAGCUCUAAAUUCCUCUAGGUGAGAGGGAGGCCUGUCCUCCGGGCUGGGCCCCAAACCCCGAGAACACAGGGGGACAGGACACUGCCUCAUUUUACCGCGUGGGGUCCUCGGAGGUCCUCUAAGUAAACAAUCUCGUGACAUCCGGAGGACACAGGCUGUCACACAGGAUGUGAUGGACAAAUGGCCACACACAGCCAGACAGACCGUUUGAAGGGACCUCAUUGCGGCAAUGUGUUCGUGUCAUCCCCAACACCCGCAGCCCCCACCCCUGCCCCCAGCCUUUGUCACCCGGCGCCAAGAGGAUACGGGGCAAUCCGGUCCCAUUUGACAUUGAGCAUUCCAGAGACAAUGCCAAAGUCCUCCGGAGGGAAGGAGUCGUCGGAUAACUCCACAUCUAAUGCAGCGCUGUAAGUGGAGGAACAAAAGUGGUUAGUAUGUAACAGAUACAAAGUUAAUCAAUAAUUAGGGUGCUUGGCUGGCUCAGUUGGUAGAGCCUGAGACUCCUGAUCUUAGGGUUGUGAGUUCGAACCUCCAUGUUGGGUGGAGAGAUUACUUAAAAACAAAACCUUAAAGGCAAACCAUAAGAGACUCUUAAAUACUGAGAAUACACUGAGGAUUGAUGGGGGGGUGGGGGGAGAGGAAAGUGGGUAAUGGGCACUGAGGAGGGCACCUGUUGGGAUGAGCACCGGGUGUUGUAUGGAAACCAAUUUGACAAUAAAUUUCAUAUUAAAAAAAAAAACACCGUAAAAAAAAAA